rnacentral:rRNA from 11 species
CCCUAAAGCUAUGUAUAAAUAUUUCAAAUGCAGCCAAUCGUGUCUGAUCUUGGAAGCCAAGCAGGCUUAGCUUUGGUCAGUACUUUGAUGAGAGACCACAAUGAAUCCCAGGUGCUGUGGGCU